UCGGACCUCGCGACUGGCGUUUUUUCCUCGGCACGGCUGAGAGCCUGCGAGUUCCCCUCUGGGCCUCCCAGCUUAUUUUAGUUAAGGAGUCCCCGAGGCCUAGCGUGCUGGUUACCAGAGCUUCUAGAAGCGGCUUGCCGGCUCCUGGCAUUUUCCGGGCCAGACUGGUUCUGAGGACGCGUCAGGGAGACCGUUGGACCCAGGUCUAGCGUUGCCUUCGUUCGGCCAGCGCCCGGGAGCUCGACUCCAGAUUCCCUGGGGCUUGAGAAGCCGUUGUUUCGUCCGUCGGGGCCAGAGGUGCAGAUGACUAAGGGGUUGUUUGUCAUCCAGAAUUCUACAGUUUUGUGAUUCUUUUGUGAUUUAUAUUUAAUGAAUGUGUCAACUUCCAAGAUUAAUCAUGAAAAUUUUGAUUUGGAAGAGACCCUUUGUUUGGAAUAUGUUUGCCCUAGGUAUCUUUAUGGUUCUCUACCAAAAUGGAUUCUGUGGGACUGCCCUUUUAUUCUGUUAUAAUUGGUCCACUUUCUGGUUUUUUCCUUUCCCUUCAUUUGGAAGAGCUGUUAGAAAUGUUUACAGUGCACUUACUCCUCACAAAAGCCCUGUGAAGUAGACAUUAUUAACUCCUUUUUAAGGAUGCUGCUAAUAAAAGCCAGAAUGUGUUAUGAAGGUACAACUCAAGCUGCAACUUCACUCUUCAGCAGCAGGAACUACUCUCUAAUGAAUGAUGUACCCCAGAUUGAAAAUUCCUCAAGUGAAAUGCUUGAGAUUAAGUAAGGUGUCCUUAUAAGAAGAAGAAUAGACGCCAGGGAUGCAUGUACACAGAGAAGAGACCAUGUAAGGACACACUGAAAAGGUGGCCAUCUGCAGGCCAAGAAAAGAGGCCUUAGGAGGAACGAAACCUGCUGACACUUUGAUCUUGGAUUUCUAGCACCUGGAACUAUGAGAAAAUAAAUUUCUGUUGUCUGAGCCACCCACCGCCAUCUCCAGGGAAUAGCUGGGUGAAUAUAUUUGCAAGUAUAUUUGAUGCCAAAAAACAUGGAACAUAUAAACCGGUCUCAAGAGACAUUUUGGAUCAUCUGGUAAAGACAAUUAUAGCAGAUUACAACCAUCUUCUGAAGUCUUGGAGACGGUCCCCAAGGAACUUUUGGGAACACAUGAAGGUGACGUUAGAGUUAUCCCUCUAUAAUUCUAGAGAGAAAGAGAUGGAGCUACAGCUAACCAGGUAACAGUAUAUAACCCUUUGUGUACUGCAUGUGAACAUGUAUGUCUUGGUUUAUUUAAAAAAAAAAAAGACUGAAAAUUUUACUGCUCUAAGGGAAUACAAGAUAAAGAUGAAUAAGCUAUAAUUUGUAGGUCAGAUUAUCUAGUCACAGUAUAUUAAAAACUCAUUUCCUUGUGGGAAUCAAGGAAAGAGAAGGGGCUCCUUCUACUAAUGAGAUACUCAAAGGCUAGUUUCCUCAGGGAAAUCUCCCUCCAGUGACAACCAUGAAGGUCGGAAAUGAUGGAAACUGGCAGAUUUCCUUACAAAGAAUCUGUUUUGUGCACUGCAGCAUAGUGUUUAGAGAACAGGAGAAAGAAUGAAAAGCAGAUCAAGAGAUCCCUAGCCAAGAUGGUGGAGUAGAAAGACCCUGAGCUCACCUCCUUUCACAGACACACCAAAAUCACAACCAUUUGCAGAAAAACCAUCGAUGAAAAAGACUGGAGCCUACCAGAAAAGAUCUUCUACAACUAAAGACAUAAAGAAGGAACUACAAUGAGACAGGUAGGAGAGGCAGACUCAACAAUAUAGUCAAGUCCCGUACUCCCAGGUGGGUGACCCACAAACUGGAGGAUAAUUACAUUGCAGAGGUUCUCCCAAAGGAGAUAUCUGAGCCCCACAUCAGGCUCCCCAGCCCAAGAGUCCUGCACCAGGAAGACAAGCCCCCAGAACAUUUGGCUUUGAAGGCCAGUGGGGCUUACUUUUAGGAGAGCCAAAGGGUGGGAGGAAGAGAGACUUCACUCUUAAAGGGUGCACACAAAAUCUCACAUGCUCUGGAACCCAGGGAAGAAGCAGUAAUCUGAUAGGAGCCUGGGUCAGACAUAUCUACUGAUCCUGGAAUGUCUCCCAGAGAGGCAGGAGGCAACUGCAUAUCACCCUAGGAACACAAGCACUGAUGGCAGCCAUUUUGGGGAGCUUCUACCAUGUGGACACUGGUACUGGCAAAUGCCAUUGUGAAACUCUUCCUCUAGCUCAUCAGGACCAAGACCUGGCCCCACCCAAUAGCCUAUAGUCACCAGUGCUGGGAUGCCUCAGGCCAAGCAGCUAACUGGGUAGGGACACAGCCCCACCCAUCAGCAGACUGGCUGCCUUAAGACCACCUGAGUCCAUUGCUGCCUCUGGACAUGGCCUUACCCACCAAAGGGCCCAGGACCCAGCUCCACCCACCAGUGGGCAGGUGCCAGCCCCAGAAUCCCCUGGACCCUGAUGCUGCCCUCCAGGAAGCCUAUUCUAGCCUCUGGGCCAGCUUCAUCCACAAGGGGGCAGACAUUAGAUGCAAGAAAACCACAAUCCCAGAGCCUGCAGACCUAGCCUGCCACCAGCAGGCCAGACCC